CAGUCGCCACGGUAAUACGUAGGGUGCGAGCGUUAAUCGGAAUUACUGGGCGUAAAGCGUGCGCAGGCGGCUUUGCAAGACAGAUGUGAAAUCCCCGGGCUCAACCUGGGAACUGCAUUUGUGACUGCAAGGCUAGAGUGCGGCAGAGGGAGAUGGAAUUCCGCGUGUAGCAGUGAAAUGCGUAGAUAUGCGGAGGAACACCGAUGGCGAAGGCAAUCUCCUGGGCCUGCACUGACGCUCAUGCACGAAAGCGUGGGGAGCAAACAGGAUUAGAUACCCCGGUAGUCCCUGUCUCUUAUAC
rnacentral:rRNA from 1 species